UACGUAGGGGGCAAGCGUUGUCCGGAAUUACUGGGCGUAAAGCGCGUGUAGGCGGGACGGUUAGUCGGACGUGAAAGGCUGGGGCUCAACCCCAGAUCGCCGUUCGAAACUGCCGUUCUUGAGGGUCGAAGAGGAGAGUGGAAUUCCUGGUGUAGCGGUGAAAUGCGUAGAUAUGUGGAGGAACACCGAUGGCGAAGGCAGCCCCCUGGGUUAACACUGACGCUCAUGCACGAAAGCGUGGGGAGCAAACAGG
rnacentral:rRNA from 1 species